UACGAAGGGGCUAGCGUUGCUCGGAAUCACUGGGCGUAAAGGGUGCGUAGGCGGGUCUUUAAGUCAGGGGUGAAAUCCUGGAGCUCAACUCCAGAACUGCCUUUGAUACUGAAGAUCUUGAGUUCGGGAGAGGUGAGUGGAACUGCGAGUGUAGAGGUGAAAUUCGUAGAUAUUCGCAAGAACACCAGUGGCGAAGGCGGCUCACUGGCCCGAUACUGACGCUGAGGCACGAAAGCGAUGGG
rnacentral:rRNA from 1 species